rnacentral:misc_RNA from 1 species
UGAAGUCUGCAACUCGACUUCAUGAAGUUGGAAUCGCUAGUAAUCGCGAAUCAGCAUGUCGCGGUGAAUACGUUCUCGGGGUUUGUACACACCGCCCGUCAAACCACGAAAGUGGACAAUACCCGAAAGCGAUAGCCUAACUGCGCAAGCAGAGGGAAUCGUCUAAGGUAGGGUCGAUGAUUGGGGUUAAGUCGUAACAAGGUAUCCCUACCGGAAGGUGGGGAUGGAUCACCUCCUUUCUAAGGAAAUUUUUAAAAUCAUCAUCUUCAGUUUUGAAAGACUUAAAUUAAUUUAAAAAAAUAAGUUUUUCUUUUUCAUUAAUUAUUCUUAUAGUAUUUAAUUUUUUAAGGGCCUAUAGCUCAGUUGGUUAGAGCACACGCCUGAUAAGCGUGAGGUCGGUGGUUCAAGUCCAUUUAGGCCCACCAGUCUAAAUGAACUGAAAAUCAAAAAAAAGUUCUUUGAAAAGUAGAUAAACAACGUAAAUUCUCAAAAUAAUGAAGAAAAUAAGGGCGUACAGUGGAUGCCUUGGCACUAAGAGCCGAUGAAGGACGAGAUAAGAGUUUGAUCCUGGCUCAGGAUUA